UUAUAGUCUGUUAAAAUAUGUGUCUAUUAAAUUCAAUGUGUAGUUUGUAAAGCUAAAGCAGCAAUCCAAGAUGGAGUCUGAACUGCCACCUUGUGACCGCCAUCUUGUUGUUUACUGUUAUCAUGGCCCAGUCCUAACUGGAUCCAACCGGUUUUUCCCCCCAUUGGCCACUCCAAGGACAAUGUCACCCUUGCUGGGACUGUACCAUAUUUUCCCGCCACUAAAGGCAGGGGGGACUGAGCUCCCUGCCGAGUGGCGCAGUCCAUCCCAGUGACUGUGUGCGCGGCUCAGGCCUGCCCAGCACGUUCUGCCCGAAGUGACGAGUGAGGGAAGGAGAUUCCAUCGAACCCGCUCCUGCUCCUGGACUCGAGUGGACGUGACAGGAGGCGAAGAUGGCUCCAUCCGGGUUGAAGGCAGUGGUGCGUGAGAAGAUCUUCAGCGUUGUCUUUCGCAGCGUGAAGAAGGAAGGAGAAUGGAAGGUGCUAAUCAUGGACCACCCGAGCACGCGCAUCCUCUCGUCAUGCUGCAAGAUGUCCGACAUCAUGAACGAAGGCAUCACACGUGAGUGGGCCCUCCCUCCCGUCUGAUCCCCCCGCCAGGGCUCCCCUCCCCCUUGGACACACCUCACAGUUGGGGAGUUGACUUGUCUACAUUCACGUUUGCAUCUAGUUUCCUCCCUUUGCAGCCCCCUAGAUGCCCUCCUUGCUAUUGGUACCUUCCCAGCCAGCUCUAGUACCCUUAGCCCGGCGCUUUCAGCCCCUGGAACCUCUUCAGCGCUUUUCUCAGCUCCCGUUAACUCC